UACGGGGGGGGUAAGCGUUGUUCGGAAUUACUGGGCGUAAAGGCUCGUAGGCGGCCAACUAAGUCAUACGUGAAAUCCCUCAGCUUAACUGGGGAACUGCGUGUGAUACUGGAUGGCUUGGAUUUGGGAGAGGGAUGCGGAAUUCCAGGUGUAGCGGUGAAAUGUGUAGAGAUCGGGAGGAACACCGGUGGCGAAGGCGGGUCUCUGGGCAAUUCCUGACGCUGAGGCGCGAAAGCGUGGGGAGCAAACGGG
rnacentral:rRNA from 1 species